CACUUUAAAGAAAAACCAGAAGGUUUGGUAUCCCUGAAUCUGGAGCUGAUGACUCAGGAAAUGCACCUUCUCCCAAGAAACUGUCCUCCCAUCUAAGAUUAGCAGCAUCUUUCUCCACUACUGACCACUAUAAGCAAUGCAGCCUCAAUAUUUUCUACCAAGAAGAAGAUUACAAUGUGUAAGCAGAAAGUUCAGUUCAGAAACACCCAAAGUGUAAAGCCUCAGCAGAGCUCCAAACAGUGUAUCUUUGCUAAGAAAAGAUUCCAAGUUGAAACUCCCUAAAUGAAAGGGCAAGGAUUCAAAAGUGAAAGUGAUUCAAAGUGAGGCUCUCACUUUGCCAAAGAGUACUCUGCCAUCAGUGAAGAAGAACCCACAUCUGAUAAGGUGGGCCUCUAACAGGUUCAGCAUCUCCUGGCACCCUCCAGCAGGGCACUGUAUCGUCUGAGGCAAAUCACAUCUCCACACUUGGUCUCAGUCCCUUUAUAGUCUAUUUCGCCCCAUCAGCAAAACGAAAAUAGUCCUUUAUUUACCAAAUCCGGAAAAUCUGUUGGGAGGCAAAAGGAGAGCUGAAGAAUCUCCAAUGAAUUUAAUCUGCCAGGAGAGGGAGUUUAACUCUGGGCCUCCAGAGACAGGUUGCACGUACAGAAGAGGGGGCUUCUGGAAACCCAGGCUUCGGCUUAGCCCCGCUGGGUGACUGAGAGGAAAUCCAGCAGUAGACGGGUUAAGUG